GGAAUGAAUGGUUAGAUUCUUUCCCUCUCACUAACGCAUAGAUGUUGAUUUCACUAACUCCGUUUAUGAUCGCGAAGAAACUAUAUUUGGUAAGCUGGCCUUUCCUGUCUGGUAGCCAGUUAUCAAAAAAAAAAAAAAAAAAAAAAAAGGCACGAUAAACCUGGGAUGCCUGAUCCGGAGAUUUCAUGGCUGUUGAUCACAGCAGCAACUUUAGGUUGCCCAGUAAACAUGCUGGUGCACUUUGCUAGAACUUUAUUUCAAUCCGUCCUAUGAAUAGCCUGUAUAUUACCUCCCACCCCCAGUACUUCAUGAUGGUAUUGAAACCCAGAGAGGUCAAGAAUCUAGCCCUGGGCUGCACAGCAGAAUAGCUGAGGCUGGGUGAUAAUCUUGAGUUUUCAUCCUAACCCAGCACUUGUCACUUUGGGCUUUGGUUAGAAUGACAGGGUGGAAGAAGAUUCUGCUUGUUUCCUCAGUGACAAUGUCUGGGUGCUGUGGGGAGGGACUAUGGUGGCUGAAAGCAUGUUGGAGUCUGUGGUCCUUGCAGGUUGUGUUCUACCUGCAGGGCCCAGAGGGAGGACCGAACUACACCUUGGUGUCUACCUUUGCCACAAGACUGUCUGGAUAAAAAGGCUGAUUUUUCUUACUAGCUCUUUGUAUAUUUCAGCCUAGUAACCUUCAAUAACUUCCUCUAAUGUUUCUUGCAGGACUUUGGGGGCAGGGGUUUCAGAUGCUAGACAAGUCCAAGCUGACUGGGCAGAAAGGGCAUUUAUUGGUUCUUGGGACAGAAAGUUCAAGGGUAGGCUAGCUUCCAGCACAGCUUGCUGCAGGUGUCAUAAAAUGCCUUGAGGACCUAGUUUCUUUCCCUUCAUCCCUGGAUUGGCUACAUUUUCAAACAGGCUAACCCUCUGGCUAGCAGCUCCAGCAGCUCCAAAUCGCAUGACCUCACUUCUUGCAAGUUCUCUAGAAAAAGUUCUCAGGAAUCUUUCUUCCCCUGUGUCCCAACUAGGUCUCCUUGUGACUGGCUGCACCUGAGUCAUGUUCUCAUCCCUGAUGUGGGGCGGGGGGAGCUGAGAGAGUUCCACCCUCAGCACAUUGUCCUCGGAAAGCAACUGGGUAAAGCUGGCAAAGGAAGGAAGAAUGGAGGCUGGGUGGAGCCCUCUCAGCUCUCAAAAGAUAAACAUUUACAGCACUUACCAGUUGGAGCAGGAAGCACCGUAUCUCAUCUGCUGUUGUAGGAUUGAUUGCCUGGUCUGUUAGUGGGACUCUCUCAUGCGGUUUCUUUUUAUUAUUUUUUAAAAGAGUUAAACACACACACAUACAAAAUGAGAUUCUAUUUCCUAUUCACCAGAUUGGCAGGGUUUUUUUUUAGAAUGUAAAACAUCUAUUAUAUAAUUGUUUUCAACUGAGGUAUAAUGACAUACUAGUUUCAGAUAUACAAUAUAAUGGUUUGAUAUUUGUAUAUAUUGCAAAAUGAUCACAAUAGUCCUGUUACUAUCUGUCACCAUACGUAGUUAUAAAAAUUGUUCUUCUUGUGUUGAAAGCUUUCAUGACCUACUCUCCUAGCUGCUUGCAAAUACGCUAUACAGUAUCAUUAACUACAGUCACCAUGGCAGGAAUUGUAAAAGAUGACAGUAUCGGGUGUUGGUGAAGCCGUGGAGCAACGUGGGUGCUCGGAGCCUGCUGGUGGGGACGUACAUUGGUACAGCUGCUUGGGAAACAGUCAAGUUGAGGAUGCGUCCUGCUCAUGUACUAGGGUACGGAGUUCCCAUUGUGGCUCAGUGGUAACCAACUCGACUAGUAUCCAUGAAGACGCAGGUUCCAUCCCUGGCCCCUCUCAGUGGGUUAAGGAUCUGGUGUUGCUGUGAGCUGCAGUGUAGGUCGCAGACAUGGCUCGGAUCUGGUGUGGCUGUGGCUGUGGCCUAGGCUGGCAGCUACAGCUCUGAUUCGACCCCUAGCCUGGGAACUUCCAUAUGCA
rnacentral:lncRNA from 1 species